rnacentral:rRNA from 1 species
AUUGAACGCUGGCGGCAGGCUUAACACAUGCAAGUCGAGCGAGCGGCGGACGGGUGGGUAAUGUCUGGGAAACUGCCUGAUGGAGGGGGAUAACUACUGGAAACGGUAGCUAAUACCGCAUACCAUCAGAUGUGCCCAGAUGGGAUUAGCUAGUAGGGGGGGUAAUGGCUCACCUAGGCGACGAUCCCUAGCUGGUCUGAGAGGAUGAUCAGUCACACUGGAACUGAGACACGGUCCAGACUCCUACGGGAGGCAGCAGUGGGGAAUAUUGGACAAUGGGCGAAAGCCUGAUCCAGCCAUGCCGCGUGUGUGAAGAAGGUCUUCGGAUUGUAAAGCACUUUAAGUUGGGAGGCGUUACCGACAGAAUAAGCACCGGCUAACUCUGUGCCAGCAGCCGCGGUAAUAC